ensembl:snRNA U6 U6 spliceosomal RNA
GUGCUCACUUUGGCAGCACAUAUACUAUAAUUCGAAUGAUAUAGAGAUUAGCAUGGCCCCUGUGCAAGGAUAACAUGAAAAUUUGUGAAGUAUUCACAUUAAAA